rnacentral:rRNA from 1 species
UACGUAGGGGGCUAGCGUUGUCCGGAAUCAUUGGGCGUAAAGAGCGUGUAGGCGGCCCGGUAAGUCCGCUGUAAAAGUCAAAGGCUCAACCUUUGAAUGUCAGUGGAUACUGCCGGGCUAGAGUCCGGAAGAGGCGAGUGGAACUCCUGGUGUAGCGGUGGAAUGCGCAGAUAUCAGGAGGAACACCAAUGGCGAAGGCAGCUCGCUGGAACGGUACUGACGCUGAGGCGCGAAAGCGUGGGGAGCGAACAGG